GCGGUUUUCUGACAUUGUAUAUUUCUGCCGCUUCUGUGACUGUUCAUUUGGGUUUUGAUGAUUCCGUAGCCCACUUGUCGAUGGAUGUCCAGAAUCAGCAAUAAUAAUAAUACAAAUAUAACAAUAAUAUAACAAUAAUAAUAAUAAUACAAAGUGGCUGACAACAUAUUGAAAAUCAUGUAAGCAACAACCCAAAGGCAUCAGUAAUAAGUAUAAAGCAUCAUUUAAAACAACAUGAAUAUACAUUCCCAUUCUGAAGUUACCAGGCUUGGUUGGAAUCGCCUUGGCCCUUUGGGCUGCAGCAUGGCACUCAGUGUGAGCCCAGGCUGUGCUAAAUAAGUGUCGUGUGCCUUUAAGGCUGCUGCCCAGCCCUUCCCCAGAGGAGGAGGCGCCUGCCCUUUGUCCACGCUGACAUCAGCCUCAAAAGCCCCACUCGGGAAAGUCCACAGCACCCAAGGCGUGGCUCUCCCUCUCCGGCGUCUCCAGCACCAGCCUUGCCCUCCAGGUGUGGUUUCGUCCGGGAUUCUUAAAGACCUUAAUCGGUUUGCCUUGGGAACGCCACUCCUUCCUGUUUUUGUCAGCACUUCCUUCAUCUUAAGGUGCGGUUUCUUUAGUUUGACUCGAGUGUUUACAUGCCAACAGCAACUGAGUACACAAUGUUGGACAUAGCAACCUGCUGCAAGAGAACCUUCUACUAUAAUGGUCAUUUG
rnacentral:lncRNA from 11 species